rnacentral:lncRNA from 1 species
AUGUUGACCUUUGUCCAGAUUGGCCUUGACUUUGGGAGCUCUCCGGUGUGGGAUUUGUUCCUUUCUGAUGGAACAAAAACAUCGGUUUCCCAAGGCUUUGGCCUGCUCCCUCCUCCCCGUUGGAAACUCCCAGCGUGUUCUGUGCCACUGUUGGUCCACGCAGGCCACCGUAGCAGACACCCCAGACUGAGGCUCACCCAGCAGACGAGCACUGCCCCCCAGUCCUGCAGGCCAAAGCCCGGGAUGCAGGCGCGGGCAAGGCAGCUUCCUGAGGCCUCUCUCGUGUGUGGACGGCCGUGCUCUCCCUGGGUCCUCAUGGGGUCGUCCCUCCGCGUGUCUCUGUGUCAUGCUGGAUCAGGGCCCACCCCGGUGACCUCAUGUUACCUUGAUCACCUCUUUAAAGACCCUGUCUGCACACGCAGCCACGUUCUGCGGUGCUGGGGGUCAGGAUUUCCACGUCGGAAUUGGGGGGACGCGGCUCAGCCCUUAGCAGCCACCCCCCAGCAGCUGCUGGGAAAGAACGCUGACCUAGGACUUAGGAGAAAACGUUUCCCCUGGAGCUGCUUCAUCGAAUUCUGGAAUGAUGAGAAAAGGAUUUGGAGGCACUUGGAGAGCCUCCCCACAGACCAUGCCUCUCACAGCAGCGUAAUCUGGAGAGAUUGGAAACUAAUUACCCUGUGAGGUCAUCCUCAUUCCUACAGUAAUCACAGUCCUGAAUGAAGUGGGAAGCUGGUCUUUGACUCCGGAAACUGAAGUCACCAAGCAGGGACGGUUGACCAGAGACAAGUGGGCAUGGUGUCCAGUUCCAACAGGACAGGAGUCCUGUAGUUGAGGGCCCUGCCACGGAAGGCUGGAUGGCAAGUCCAAGUCCGUGUGAUCAAGUGGCCCAGCUGGGGCUUUGCAGGUUCCUUGUCCGAGAAGGAAAGUCACUCCUAACGCUUCAAGGACUUCUGCCUCCUUUCUGAAUAAAACCUUCCUCCCCUGGCA